rnacentral:rRNA from 1 species
GAUAAACGCUGGCGGCGUGCUUCAGGCAUGCAAGUCGAACGGGCACUUCGGUGUCAGUGGCGGACGGGUGAGUAACACGUAAGUAACCUGCCCGGAAGUGGGGAAUAACCCGCCGAAAGGUGAGCUAAUUCCGCAUGUGAUGGCUCUUCCCUGGAGGGGUCAUGAAAGGCGAAAGUCGCUUCCGGAGGGGCUUGCGGCCGAUUAGCUAGUUGGUGGGGUAAUGGCCUACCAAGGCGACGAUCGGUAGCUGGUCUGAGAGGACGGUCAGCCACACGGGGACUGAGAUACCGGCCCCGACUCCUACGGGAGGCAG